rnacentral:rRNA from 1 species
GACGAACGCUGGCGGCGUGCUUAACACAUGCAAGUCGAACGGAAAGGCCCUGGUUUUGUGGGGUGCUCGAGUGGCGAACGGGUGAGUAACACGUGAGUAACCUGCCCUUGACUUUGGGAUAACUUCAGGAAACUGGGGCUAAUACCGGAUAGGAGCUCCUGCUGCAUGGUGGGGGUUGGAAAGUUUCGGCGGUUGGGGAUGGACUCGCGGCUUAUCAGCUUGUUGGUGGGGUAGUGGCUUACCAAGGCUUUGACGGGUAGCCGGCCUGAGAGGGUGACCGGCCACAUUGGGACUGAGAUACGGCCCAGACUCCUACGGGAGGCAGCAGUGGGGAAUAUUGCACAAUGGGCGGAAGCCUGAUGCAGCAACGCCGCGUGCGGGAUGACGGCCUUCGGGUUGUAAACCGCUUUCGCCUGUGACGAAGCGUGAGUGACGGUAAUGGGUAAAGAAGCACCGGCUAACUACGUG